UCCUCAGUAGCUCAGUUUGGUUAGAGCACCUGACUGUUAAUCAGGGUGUCGCUGGUUCGAAUCCAGCCUGGGGAGCUA
rnacentral:tRNA from 1 species